GCGAUCAUACCAGCACUAAUGCACCGGAUCCCAUCAGAACUCCGAAGUUAAGCGUGUUUGGGCGAGAGCAGUACUAGGAUGGGUGACCCCCUGGGAAGUCCUCGUGUUGCACCU
rnacentral:rRNA from 1 species